rnacentral:rRNA from 1 species
UACAGAGGUCCCAAGCGUUGUUCGGAUUCACUGGGCGUAAAGGGUGCGUAGGCGGUCGGGUAAGUCUGAUGUGAAAUCCCUGGGCUCAACCCAGGGCCUGCAUCGGAAACUGUCGGGCUUGAGUAUGGGAGAGGUGAGUGGAAUUUCCGGUGUAGCGGUGAAAUGCGUAGAUAUCGGAAGGAACACCUGUGGCGAAAGCGGCUCACUGGACCAUUACUGACGCUGAGGCACGAAAGCUAGGGGAGCAAACAGG